AUUUUAUUAGUAUAUAAUAGUAUGGUUAACUUCCAAUUAACGGGUUUAAUUAAUUAAAUAAAAUA
rnacentral:tRNA from 1 species